rnacentral:rRNA from 1 species
UACGUAGGGGGCUAGCGUUGUCCGGAUUUAUUGGGCGUAAAGAGCUCGUAGGUGGUUUGUCGCGUUGUUCGUGAAAACCGGGGGCUUAACCCUCGGCGUGCGGGCGAUACGGGCAGACUUGAGUACUGCAGGGGAGACUGGAAUUCCUGGUGUAGCGGUGGAAUGCGCAGAUAUCAGGAGGAACACCGGUGGCGAAGGCGGGUCUCUGGGCAGUAACUGACGCUGAGGAGCGAAAGCGUGGGGAGCGAACAGG